rnacentral:rRNA from 1 species
UUCGGGUUGAGUAGAGCGGCGGACGGGUGAGUAACGCGUAUGAAUCUACCUGGUAGUGGGGGACAACUCGGGGAAACUCGAGCUAAUACCGCAUACGCCCUGAUGGGGAAAGCGGGGGAUCUUCGGACCUCGCGCUAUUGGAUGAGCCUGCGUUGGAUUAGCUGGUUGGUGGGGUAAAGGCCUACCAAUGCGACGAUCCAUAGCUGGUCUGAGAGGAAGAUCCCCCACACUGGUACUGAGACACGGACCAGACUCCUACGGGAGGCAGCAGUGAGGAAUAUUGGUCAAUGGAGGCAACUCUGAACCAGCCAAGCCGCGUGAAGGAAGACUGUUCUAUGAAUUGUAAACUUCUUUUGUGACAGAGUAAAGAUAGCUACGUGUAGUUGUUUGCCAGUAUGUCAUGAAUAAGCAUCGGCUAACUCCGUGCCAGCAGCCGCGGUAAUACGGAGGAUGCAGGCGUUAUCCGGAUUUAUUAGGUUUAAAGGGUGUUCAGGCUGUCUGGUAAGUCAGAGGUGAAAGUCGGUUGCUUAACGAUCGAAUUGCCUUUGAAACUGUCAGACUUGAGUAUGGAUGUGGUAGGCGGAAUGUGUAGUGUAGCGGUGAAAUGCAUAGAUAUUACACAGAACUCCAAUUGCGAAAGCAGCUUACCAAACCAGCACUGACGCUGAAGCACGAAAGCGUGGGUAGCGAACAGGAUUAGAUACCCUGGUAGUCCACGCAGUAAACGAUGCUCACUCGCUGUUGGCAAUACACCGUCAGCGGCUAAGGGAAACCGAUAAGUGAGCCACCUGGGGAGUACGAUCGCAAGAUUGAAACUCAAAGGAAUUGACGGGGGCCCGCACAAGCGGUGGAACAUGUGGUUUAAUUCGAUGAUACGCGAGGAACCUUACCUGGGCUUAAAUGUGAAGUGCAUUGUUUGGAAACAGACAUUUCCUUCGGGACUCUUUACAAGGUGCUGCAUGGUUGUCGUCAGCUCGUGCCGUGAGGUGUCGGGUUAAGUCCCAUAACGAGCGCAACCCCUAUUGUUAGUUACCAGCGCGUCAAGGCGGGGACUCUAACGAGACUGCCGGUGUAAACCGCGAGGAAGGUGGGGAUGACGUCAAAUCAGCACGGCCCUUAUGUCCAGGGCUACACACGUGUUACAAUGGUCGGUACAGAGGGCAGCUAGGCAGCGAUGUCAAGCGAAUCUCGAAAGCCGAUCCCAGUUCGGAUUGGAGUCUGCAACCCGACUCCAUGAAGGUGGAAUCGCUAGUAAUCGCGCAUCAGCCAUGGCGCGGUGAUACGUUCCCGGGCCUUGUACACACCGCCCGUCAAGCCAUGGAAGUCUGGGGUGCC